GACGGAGGAUGCAAGCGUUAUCCGGAAUGAUUGGGCGUAAAGCGUCCGCAGGUGGCAGUUCAAGUCUGCUGUCAAAGACCGGGGCUUAACUUCGGAAAGGCAGUGGAAACUGAACAGCUAGAGUAUGGUAGGGGCAGAGGGAAUUCCACGUGUAGCAGUGAAAUGCGUAGAGAUGUGGAGGAACACCGAUGGCGAAGGCAGCCUCCUGGGCCGACACUGGCGCUCAUGCACGAAAGCGUGGGGAGCAAACAGG
rnacentral:rRNA from 1 species